UACGAAGGGGGCUAGCGUUGCUCGGAAUCACUGGGCGUAAAGCGCACGUAGGCGGCUUCUUAAGUCAGGGGUGAAAUCCUGGAGCUCAACUCCAGAACUGCCGUCCAAACUGCUUCGCUUGAGACCGGGAGAGGUGAGUGGAAUUCCCAGUGUAGCGGUGAAAUGCGUAGAUAUUGGGAGGAACACCGGUGGCGAAGGCGGUUCUCUGGGCCUGACCUGACGCUGAGGAGCGAAAGCGUGGGGAGCGAACAGG
rnacentral:rRNA from 1 species